rnacentral:misc_RNA from 1 species
AGGUAGCGGAGUUUUGUUGGAGGUUCUCUCAAAGUUAGUUUACCAAUAAUAUUUUACUUGUGGUAAAUGCAGAAGCGAGUUCUAAAUUAAUAUUAUGCAUAUGGCAAUGGUAUAAAAGUAAUUAAUAAUUAUAAUUAAAUUCCAAAGUGAUCCUAGGGAGCUUCGAGAAUACAAGUGUGCUUAUAGUUUAUUGUUUUUAUCUGUCAAGUGAUAAAAGUCAGUGUCUCCUGAAGAAAAAUAAAUAGUGAAUCCAACAACAGAAACGAAUCAUGGCUGCCUGGACUAGUUUAUCGGAGUGAUCAAAUUAAAGCUUGUUUCGUCAAAUAAGCCUGAGUGGAAUACUGCAAAGUGAGCUGAAAGGUAUUAAGAACGAAGUUCUUGUGACCCUGGAUAACAAAUCUGAGAAAGAAACUAGUAAAACUGACAUGGAUAAAGAGAUAAAUGAGAAUAAGAAUGCCAAGGCUGAGAAGAAAAGAGCAAAGGAAGAGGCCAGAUAUCAAAAAGAACGUCAAAAAUCCAGAAUAGAUGGACAAUAUAAACGAGAAAAAUUAAGGGAGGAAAUGCGUCAAAAGUAUGGGUUAUCCAAACCCUCGUCAGAUUGUACCGACUACAAGGCUGUUGAGUCGGUUCAAAAAAGACUAUAAAAUGUCAGAGAAAGAGUGUGCUGAACUAGAGAGGCGAAUGCAUGAACAACUAAUGGAGAAGAAAGCGGUGGAUCGAAAGGUCGAAAAGAAGCUUGAUAAAAGAAAGAAGAAAAAAGAUCUCAAAGAAAAUGUCAAAGGUGUAUGUACUACUCAAUAGAAUCCCUUUAGAUCAUAAACGGUGAUUCACGAACGACACAUUUUUAUGUUACUUCUCAUAUGAAAAGCGACAUAAUUCCAGAUUCAUACCUCUUGAAAUGUAUUUAUUUAUAUUCUCUCAUUCAUUUCCUAUUUAAUCCAACAAUGAUUGCAAAAAAUAUUAACUUUUAUUUAAAUGAUUUGUAUGACUUGAUUCAUAACUAAAUAUAUAUAUAGACUUUUCUUAUUAAAA